AACAGAUACCACAAUGAUGUUUGGGACAUAGUUAUCAGGAACACAAUGAAACAUUACCAUGGAAUGUGUUCGAGAUCUCCAAAACUAGAGAUCCCAAUAACAAUACAAAAUUGUAGAAUUAAGAGAACUUAGAAGGGAAAAUAAUCAAUUAAGAGAGAGAAAACAAGAAGAAUUAAGAGAACUUACAAGGAAAAAUAAUCAAUCAAAAGAGAGAAAACAAGAAGAAUUAAGAAAGACAAAGAUUAAAGAAGAAUCAAGAAAAUUUCAUAUUUGAGAACAAAGGCUCAAUGAGAUGUUGAAGAUGGCAAUGGGUUUGUAGCCUUCUUAAAAUAAUAAGAUUUAUUCAUUUAAUUUUUCUAUAAUUUUAUUUAUCAGCUCACCAAUUAGUUUCUCUAAAUCCAGCACACCAAUGGGCUUCUUCUACAAAACUCACAAUUCUCUUUCUUCCGUCUCCAUCAUCAUAAUUAUCAAAUUUCACUCAACUCUUGUGACCCACCUCAUCAUCACCAUCAAAACCUUAUAUUCACCAAUCACCCUAGUGUUCAAUUUAAACAUAAACUCGGAUUUGCUUUGAAUGACAACGACAUGAAGAGAGGAGAAUUGAUAGAUGCAAGAAAGAGGCGAGUUUCAACUGAAUGACUAAUAGCUACGGUAGGAAUGGUUAUGGUGGGUUUCCUUACUGAGGAAGUGUUGCUACUAUUAUUUGAUCAAGAAAGAGGAAGAAAGAUAGUUCAGG
rnacentral:lncRNA from 1 species